GGAGUCUUCAAAAUUUUCUGUGUAGAAGAUAAUGCAAUGUGCAAUGGAAAAUGAUUUUACACCAUUAUUCGCAAUCUGGAGGACUUACAUUCUGUUUCUUCAUUUUCUUUGGUAGAACCUCUAGGAAAAUGUUGAAGUUCACUGUGUUGCUGAGGAGUACCAAAAGUGUUUGUAGCUUCUCCACCUCUCUCCAGACCCAGUUUUUGUCACUGUUGAACCAGAUGGAUGCUUAGCUCUGUCAUAAAUGGUGCGGACUCCUUCAGUACACCUUAAUCAUUGAGACUGGAGACUUUAAGAUGGAGAGAUACUGGAUUCCAGUGAAAAGAAAAAGAACAAGAGAAAGUCUCCAAGUGGAAAGAAGAGCCUGUGCAUUGCAAUUCCUACCACUAACACUCUGGGCUUGGAAGGUCAGUUUGAAUUCUGACUGGCUACUGUGGAAUACUGCUCUAAAAUAAUUUAUCAGGUAAUUUUGAAGGGUGUGUUCUGUGAGUGGAUGCAAU